rnacentral:rRNA from 1 species
UACGGAGGGGGCUAGCGUUGUUCGGAAUUACUGGGCGUAAAGCGCACGUAGGCGGCUUUGUAAGUUAGAGGUGAAAGCCCGGGGCUCAACUCCGGAAUUGCCUUUAAGACUGCAUCGCUAGAAUUGUGGAGAGGUAAGUGGAAUUCCGAGUGUAGAGGUGAAAUUCGUAGAUAUUCGGAAGAACACCAGUGGCGAAGGCGGCAUCCUGGACCGACAUUGACGCGUGA